rnacentral:rRNA from 1 species
UACGUAGGGGGCUAGCGUUGUCCGGAUUUAUUGGGCGUAAAGAGCGUGUAGGCGGCCAGGUGGGUCUGCUGUGAAAACUCGAGGCUCAACCUCGAGACGUCGGCGGAAACCAUCUGGCUAGAGUCCGGAAGAGGAGAGUGGAAUUCCUGGUGUAGCGGUGAAAUGCGCAGAUAUCAGGAAGAACACCCGUGGCGAAGGCGGCUCUCUGGGACGGUACUGACGCUGAGACGCGAAAGCGUGGGGAGCAAACAGG